UGGGGAAUUUUGGGCAAUGGGGGAAACCCUGACCCAGCAACGCCGCGUGAAGGAUGAAGUAUUUCGGUAUGUAAACUUCGAAAGAAUAGGAAGAAUAAAUGACGGUACUAUUUAUAAGGUCCGGCUAACUACGUGCCAGCAGCCGCGGUAAUACGUAGGGACCAAGCGUUGUUCGGAUUUACUGGGCGUAAAGCGCACGUAGGCGGAUUGUUAAGUCAGAGGUGAAAUCCCGGAGCUCAACUUCGGAACUGCCUUUGAUACUGGCAAUCUAGAGUCCGGAAGAGGUUAGUGGAAUUCCCAGUGUAGAGGUGAAAUUCGUAGAUAUUGGGAAGAACACCAGUGGCGAAGGCGGCUAACUGGUCCGGUACUGACGCUGAGGUGCGAAAGCGUGGGGAGCAAACAGGAUUAGAUACCCUAGUAGUCCCUGAGCGGGCUGGCAAGGCGCAU
rnacentral:rRNA from 1 species